rnacentral:piRNA from 1 species
UAUAUGGAGACGAGUUCAAAU